AAUAUUGGACAAUGGGCGAAAGCCUGAUCCCGCCAUGCCGCGUGAGUGAUGAAGGCCUUAGGGUUGUAAAGCUCUUUCAGUUGGGAAGAUAAUGACGGUACCCACAGAAGAAGCCCCGGCUAACUUCGUGCCAGCAGCCGCGGUAAUAACAAGGGGGCUAGCGUUGUUCGGAUUUACUGGGCGUAAAGCGCACGUAGGCGGAUUGGUCAGUUAGGGGUGGAAACCCAGAGCUCAACUCUGGAACUGCCCUUAAUACUGCCAGUCUAGAGUCCGGAAGAGGUGAGUGGAACUCCUAGUGUAGAGGUGGAAUUCGUAGAUAUUAGGAAGAACACCAGUGGCGAAGGCGGCUCACUGGUCCGGUACUGACGCUGAGGUGCGAAAGCGUGGGGAGCAAAC
rnacentral:rRNA from 1 species